rnacentral:lncRNA from 1 species
GUCUGACGUGCAGGAUAUUAUGAACGAGGGUAUGGCGUCGUCGAGGAGGAGGAGAAGGUGGUGGAGUAGUAACCGGGGGUGCCUCCAGAGGGCUGGCGGGGACCGGGGACCGGCGGUUGGGCGAAGGGGUGACGGUGGUGCGGCGGUACCCAGGCAAAACUACCCGCCUCGGCUCACUCUUCUGCCUCCAGAACCACCCACCAGCCCAUUCGUCUAGCUUAAACUAUAUUCCGACCUAACCUCCGCGCGUAGGGUACCUUCCUUCUCCGCCAACCCUACCUACCAUCUGACAGCCAGGCGAUACUUGCUCGAAGGCGAUGCGCCGCCGAUGCUUUUCGCACCCUUGUCGUUUCCUACAUUCCCUCCCUCUCCCCCAAGCCUCUCCCCUUCUCCGUUUUCUCUCGCUCGUCCUCUUUCCAUCACGCUUUCCGCUUCCUAUUCUCUAUUUUUACGCCAGGCUCAUCCGGAUGUCACGGGCGCGAGCGCGAGCUAAAAUCGGAACAGCGCAACGGAAGUGGGGAAGGUUACAGCUCGUGUUGACGUAUGUUUUGUAUUCAUUGUCCGUGUGUUAUUUUAGGUUAAAUGUCUGUUUUCCCGCGUCGAGGGUGUACCUGCAUCGUCGCCUCGCGCCUCGCUCCCUCAUGAAUCCGUUCUUUCGCGCCGCACUGUAACAUUCCUUCAAGGCUCGCCUCGGGAGUCUCAAAAUUAGAGAUAUCAGUUUGCAUAGAUGAAGAGGAAACGGUCAGAGAACCGUGUACAUUUGUGCUUUCAUUUUUAAUAAAAAUUAACUGAGAUUUUAGCUAAGAAAUAAUUGAGAAACUUGAGAAUAUUACAGAUUUUUAAUGCAUUACAAAUUGUAAACUAAAAUUGUCUUCCACGUUGAUGUAAAAAAUGAUGAAUGACAUUCUUGUUGUCUGUUAAGAUAAGAUGUAGGAAGUAAUUCUGUGUUUCGAUCUUUCGAAAUAGUCAAGCAUAUCUACAAAAUAAAUGUAUUAUCGAUAAAACUUUAGUAUAAUUCAUUGUCGACUGUGUUGGCAUUACACAGUCAAAUCUCCCGAAGAAAUAUCAAGAUAUCACAUUCUUUCUUCUUGCGAUACUUUCUUUUUAUUCGAACGGACAAAAUUAAGUUCGACAUUUCAUUUCUUCGCGUCUUCUAAGCGUUACGGUGGCGCGUAACUCGUCGAGGUUGCGGAAACUUUUUGGAUAGACGAUUCGUCGUCGCGCGAAGUGUCACACUGACGGCGGAAUAUAGCUGAAGCACGUGUACGAGUAUAUUGUGGAGGGAGGUAGGAUGGGGUAUGAGUGCAUGGUAUAUAUCUAUACAGUGUCUACAGGGGGUAGAAGUAUAAGCUUUCCUCUCGCAAAUGAGGUAAUAUAUAUACAAAAGCUAAUACGACCGAAAGUUGCCAACUUGGAUGAGUCUCUCCUCCGCAUCCCUCUACCCGCCGCUUCUCCUUCCCCGCGCGCGGACUACCUCCUCUAAAUAUUUUAAAGGAUCGUGACACUCGGGUCUAUGAGUUGCCGUCCUUGGGGAGGGACGCUUGAAACUCAAAAGGCCGUCGGAGUGAAGGACAAAAAUAUCGCGAACUGUGACAUUUGGACAGUUUCGUUUCGUAGAGUCCUUCAGAUAAACAAUUGCCGUCAGUAAGAAAAGAAAACCGGCUUUAUGCGGAUAAAUCGUGCAAGGCGCCACAAGCCAAUUGAAAUUACUGCGCCGAGAAACGCGGGAAGACAUAGUGGCUAGGUCGACGGGGGUGAGCACAGAACGGUGCAGCCAGGGCUGUACUUUUAAGCAUGGGAGUGGGGGUUCUGGAUCAAUGCCGAGACCACGCCUCCUUCGUCUUACAUCUUGCACCCUGUGUCUCCCCCCCAAACACCGUGGGCACCUUCCUUUCCUUUUGCUUUUCCACCCUCUUCCCUAUCUUCAUACCUCGCGGAAAAUCCGCCCCGGACGUGCAAAUACGUAUAUUAAAAGCAAUAAAAACUAUACUAUAUGUAUAAUACACAAAACUUUAUUGAUAUUAAUUGUACAAUAUUAUGAAACAAUUGAGAAAAAUAUAUAUUACGAAAAUAUAUAACACAUGCACAGAGAUUUUUGGAUUGAGAUAGAAGAAAACAAUAUUGUAAUCAUUACAAUGUAUAGUGUGCGUAAAAAAAUAUAUUUUUGUAAAAACA